AUUACUAGUUUAACAAGUUCAAAACUCGUUACCAUAUUGUGGAUUGCUGAUUUGCACAAAUAUCUCACGUAGGAGAGAGUCUCUUCUGAUUUCUUGCAGCCACACAAAGAUAUCUGAUCUUUACAGAAUGUCCACACAAAGAUCGAUGUAGAUCAGACUCCUUGGAAGUACUAGCUUGCAAGGAUCUUCAAGGGCUGAACUCUUCUUCUUCUUUUAAUUUCUUGGACACUCCAAAGGAGAAGAAGAUCUAGAGGAAGA
rnacentral:lncRNA from 1 species